CACUAUCGCCCUCUAGUGCAACACUCAGACAGUGUACCGUGUUUCCAUGGCUGGUGUGUGCAAGCGAAGGUGUUUCUUGAGCGCCCAUUGCUCUGUAAACCGGCGGUUGCAUUGAUUGCACUGGAACGGACGUUCUCCCUUGUGCCGGCGCACGUGACACUUCCAUGUAUCUUUGUACGAAACGGCGCCCAUUGUUGUGUUCAGCUUCCUUGUGAUACAAGACGGAACUUGGGUGAUUUAGGACUUUACCGCAG